CUCUUCUUGAUAAAAUAAGAAGUAGGAUCUGCUCCAUGCAUAAGUAAAUUGCCGCAGUAUUUUGACUGUGCUAAGGUAGCAAAAUAAUUUGGCUCUUUAUUGGGGUCUGGAAUGAAUGAUUUGACAAGGUCUAUUCUGUCUCAUUCAUUGAUAUAGAAAUUGGAUUGUUUGUAAAAAUACAAAUAUAUGAGAGAGGGACGAAAAGACCCUAUAGAUCUUUACUUUUUAUAUUAAAUAUUCCUAUAGAGUUUUUAGUGGAUUAAGUUUACUUGGGAUAAGGCUAAAUAGAUGAAUUUUGGUAUAAGAAAAAGAUGGAUUAAUCAAUAAGAUGAAUAAAAAUAAGAUAAGUUACCUUAGGGAUAACAGGAUAAUUUUUUUAUUUAGAACUUAUAAGUAAAAAAGUUUAUCACCUCGAUGUUGAAUUAAGUUUUCUUUUAUUCGUAGAAGAAUAAUUAGUUAGUCUGUUCGACUAUUAAAAACUU
rnacentral:rRNA from 1 species